AUUCAGGUUUGUCAGGCUCAUUAGAAGUUUCAACGUUCUCCUUGACAACAUUAGACUCGUCAACAUUACCUUUUGGUGGCUUAGAAACUUGAUCAGAUUUCUGAAGAUUGAAGUUACAAGUGAAGAUGAAAGUUUAGAAGAUGCUCAAACUUAUUAUUAUUUUGCUAAGAACGUUAUGUAAAGCUUCACAUCAUAUUCUAGUUCGGGAUGUUAGUAGGUUAAGUUUUUGUUGUUUAGAAAAUAUUGUAACUAUUGAAAAUAUUCUAGCUCGGGAUAUUAAUUCAUUAGUCAAUUUUUUUUUGUUUAACAAA